AUUGAACGCUGGCGGCAUGCUUUACACAUGCAAGUCGAACGGCAGCAUGGGUGCUUGCACCUGAUGGCGAGUGGCGAACGGGUGAGUAAUGUAUCGGAACAUAUCCGCAAGUGGGGGAUAACGUAGCGAAAGUUACGCUAAUACCGCAUAUUCCCUGAGGGGGAAAGGAGGGGAUCCGCAAGGACCUUUCGCUUACGGAGUGGCCGAUAUCAGAUUAGCUAGUUGGUGAGGUAAAGGCUCACCAAGGCGACGAUCUGUAGCGGGUCUGAGAGGAUGAUCCGCCACAGUGGGACUGGGACACGGCCCAGACUCCUACGGGAGGCAGCAGUGGGGAAUUUUGGACAAUGGGGGCAACCCUGAUCCAGCCAUGCCGCGUGAGUGAAGAAGGCCUUCGGGUUGUAAAGCUCUUUCAGCCGGAAAAAAAUCGCAUCACCUAAUACGUGGUGUGGAUGAUGGUACCGGAAGAAGAAGCACCGGCUAACUACGUGCCAGCCGCCGCAGUAA
rnacentral:rRNA from 1 species